rnacentral:misc_RNA from 1 species
AAAAGUCGUAACAAGGUUUCCGUAGGUGAACCUGCGGAAGGAUCAUUACAAAUCACGGUUGACGGUUUGGUUAGUUGUAAUGAUUAACCAAGCCUGAGACACAUAUGCACAGAGCACGUGAGUAAGCUUAUACCUUACGCAUGUUGCUUUGAUGUUCACGCUUGUUUGUUUGACAGAGUUAUGGUAACAACUAAAUAUAGACAACUUUUAACAAUGGAUCUCUUGGCUCUU